CAGGCACUAUCGCCUGCCUGACACUGUGCUGUGCAGCCCAGUGGGGAGACCAGCAAGGAGAUGGAUUGAGGGAGUUAGCAGGCACAGUAGUGCUGUGCAUUUGUUAAAGAAUGUGGGCGUGGUUGGCUAGGUCUUGGGGCCUGGCCAGCUAGGACCCAUGGGCGUGGUCAACUAGGAUGGGGGUGUGGUCAGUUAGGUGUGUGAUCCUGGUCAGCCAGGCUCUAAGGAAUAGUCCUUUAGAUCUGCUAAGUCCAUUGACUCUGGAGUCCCCUGGAAGAGUGGCUAACCCAGCUGUGACUCCCCAGCCAGGGGAGAACUGCCUAGAACCAGGACCAGAUGUCAGAGUUCAAGUGCUGGCCACAGACAAGCCUGCAGGAGAUGAGAUGGAGAGGCCCAGGUGAUUGAGCUGUGACAAGUGGCAGAGACAGGAGAGGCCCAGCUGUCUGGACAGUUGCCCACAUUCCAAUCUCAGGAUGCUUUGACUGCAAAGCUAGGAACCAGUAAAUCCAACAGCACCUGGCCUGGUGGCCAUGCUGGUGCUGUUCCUGCACUUGGCCCUGCAAUGGCUCAAAGGAACGGGACCCAAAAGAGACACGGCUUGCUUAACACCCCAUCUUAGCAACAUCAUGCAGCUCUUUCUGCAGUCACUGGCCUUUCCUCCUUAGCUGCCAGAACCCCACAUUGCAGAGGAAGCCUGUGCACAGUGAAGGGGAUGUGGAACCUGGGAGCCAGUCCCCAGCACUGUCACUGGGCCAUAGCUGCUGAGAGGAAAGGGCAGCCUGGCCAGAGUAAGCACAGUGGCCAUUGGGAGCCAUGGGCCUGGCCUGCGGCUCUGCAACUCUUCAAAUUAAGGAACCAACAAAGCAUCAGGUGAGAAAGCAGAUGCCAUGCCUGUGCAGAGCUCUACAAGGCAAGCGGUUGUUGUCAUUCUCAUGCCAUGGUGCCGUGCAGAUGUUGCAUGUGCAUGGUACAUGCAUGGAAGCCGUGAUUGGCAGGGGCCCAGAAAACCUGCAUCAUCUAUUCUUGUCCUUGGUCUGAGGCGCCUCUCACCUGUCUUACCAAUCUCACAUUUCUGGGGCUUCACUAUGGAAGCCUCUUCUGCUAUGCAGAAAUCCGGGUGUCUGUGGGGGCUGGUUCUCCUCAGAUGGGUGCCCUCCUUGUGCGUGACAACAGAUGAGCUAUAUUUCAAAACAAAGUGCUGUGUUAUAAUCAUCUGCCUGAAUUCCCAGGGUAUCUUUUACCUGACUUGAUAACAAUGUUCUUCAUUAGCAGCGUUUGUUAACUGAUAACCUGAAGCAGUAACUUGGUAUUCAUAAGCAAUUUUCUGUAUGUAAGAUAGAAUAAACCAUCUUGUAAGGGAUCUGUUAAUUGAUUUGCUUCUUUUAGCAGCAUUUUAAUUAAGGCAUCUGGUUUUGGAGGGCAGAAAUAGUUGUGAGCAGAAGGGAAAGGCUCUGGAUUCUCAGUCCAUGAAAAUGUCCUGUGCACUGAGCAGAGAAACACAGUCAUGUGUCACUCGGUGACAAGGACAUGUCCAGGAAGUGUGCAUUUGGGGUUCAUCACUAUGUGGAUGCGGCAGAUGCCCGCACAGGGACUGCGAUGGUUGUGGCAUUACUAUGAUACCAUGCAUAUGGUCCAUCACUGAUGGAAAUAGCGCUAUUCUGGGCAUGUCUGCAGGCUGAAGACCAGUGACCUCCCUCAGAUGGUAGGGACUAACGUCAUUUAGGAGGCAGUGUGGG
ensembl:lncRNA